UACGUAGGGGGCGAGCGUUGUCCGGAGUUACUGGGCGUAAAGCGCACGCAGGCGGUCUGCUAAGUUUGGAGUGACAGUUGGUGGCUUAACUGCCAAAGUGCUUCGAAAACUGACAGACUUGAGGGCUUCAGAGGGACACGGAAUUCCGGGUGGAGUGGUGAAAUGCGUAGAGAUCCGGAGGAACACCGGUGGCGAAGGCGGCUUCCUGGUCUGCAACUGACGCUGUGGCGCGAAAGCUAGGGGAGCAAACGGG
rnacentral:rRNA from 1 species